GAGCUUAGUGGUAGAGCAGCUGCUUUGCAUGCAAAAGGUCCCAGGUUCAAUCCCCAGCAUCUCCA